CCUACGGGAGGCAGCAGUGAGGAAUAUUGGUCAAUGGUCGUAAGCCUGAACCAGCCAAGUAGCGUGCAGGAUGAAGGCCCUACGGGUCGUAAACCGCUUUUACACGGGGAUAAAACGCUCCACGUGUGGGGUUUUGCAUGUACCGUACGAAUAAGGACCGGCUAAUUCCGUGCCAGCAGCCGCGGUAAUACGGAAGGCCCGAGCGUUAUCCGGACUUAAUGGGGUUAAAGGGAGCGUAGGUGGGGUGUCAAGUCAGGUGUGAAAGUCCGCGGCUCAACCGUGCAACGGCAGUUGAAACUGGCAGUCUUGAGUGCACGAGAGGUAGGCGGAAUUCGUGGUGUAGCGGUGAAAUGCAUAGAUAUCACGAGGAACCCCGAUGGCGAAGGCAGCCUGCGGGGGUGCGACUGACGCUGAGGCUCGAAGGUGUGGGUAUCAAACAGGAUUAGAUACCCUGGUAGUC
rnacentral:rRNA from 1 species